AUUGAACGCUGGCGGCAUGCUUUACACAUGCAAGUCGAACGGUAACAGGCCUUCGGGUGCUGACGAGUGGCGCACGGGUGAGUAAUGCAUCGGAACGUACCCAGAGGUGGGGGAUAACGCAGCGAAAGCUGUGCUAAUACCGCAUGUGAUCUGAGGAUGACAGCGGGGGACCGAGCAGCAAUGUUUGGCCUCGCGCCUUUGGAGCGGCCGAUGUCGGAUUAGCUAGUUGGUGGGGUAAAGGCCUACCAAGGCGACGAUCCGUAGCUGGUCUGAGAGGACGAACAGCCACACUGGGACUGAGACACGGCCCAGACUCCUACGGGAGGCAGCAGUGGGGAAUUUUGGACAAUGGGCGCAAGCCUGAUCCAGCAAUGCCGCGUGCGGGAAGAAGGCCUUCGGGUUGUAAACCGCUUUUGGCAGGAACGAAACGGUGUCCGCUAAUACCGGGCGCUAAUGACGGUACCUGCAGAAUAAGCACCGGCUAACUACGUG
rnacentral:rRNA from 1 species